GCGACGCCGCGUGGGGGAUGAAGGCCUUCGGGUUGUAAACCCCUUUCAGCAGGGAAGAAGCGAAAGUGACGGUACCUGCAGAAGAAGCGCCGGCUAACUACGUGCCAGCAGCCGCGGUAAUACGUAGGGCGCAAGCGUUGUCCGGAAUUAUUGGGCGUAAAGAGCUCGUAGGCGGUUUGUCGCGUCUGCUGUGAAAACCCGAGGCUCAACCUCGGGCUUGCAGUGGGUACGGGCAGACUAGAGUGCGGUAGGGGAGACUGGAAUUCCUGGUGUAGCGGUGGAAUGCGCAGAUAUCAGGAGGAACACCGAUGGCGAAGGCAGGUCUCUGGGCCGCAACUGACGCUGAGGAGCGAAAGCAUGGGGAGCGAACAGGAUUAGAUACCCUGGUAGUCCAUGCCGUAAACGUUGGGCACUAGGUGUGGGGCUCAUUCCACGAGUUCCGUGCCGCAGCUAACGCAUUAAGUGCCCCGCCUGGGGAGUACGGCCGCAAGGCUAAAACUCAAAGGAAUUGACGG
rnacentral:rRNA from 1 species